rnacentral:rRNA from 1 species
CUCACACGGGCAGCCGCCUGCCUAGCUAGCCGCUGGUAGAGGAGGAGAAGCCGUAGCAGCGUGCGCAGAGAGAGAAUUCAGAGAGAGAGAGAGAGAGAGAGAGGGAGAGAGUUCAGAGAGGAGAGAGAGGAGUUCUCCAGGGCUUGCAAGCUCUGCGCGCGCGUGCUAGGGGAAGAUCAAUUGUUCCGGCGAUCGUUACCAGCCCAGGAGAAUAGCGCGUCCGGCGGCGAGGCGAUGCGACUGACCGACUGAUGCGCUAGAAUUAUGGGCAUCCAAGGGAACAAGGCGACGCACGACUUCCUCUCGCUCUACGCCCCCGCCGCCGCCGCGGCCGCCGCCAAGGACUCCUCUCUCCAGCUCCACGAUUCCAAGCCUCCCGCCGCCUCCCAAGGUUUCUUUUUGAAGACGCACGACUUCUUGCAGCCGCUGGAGAAGCCGGCGGCGUCGGCACCGUCCGGCGCGGACAGGCAGCAGCAGCAGCCGCAGACGACGAAGCACGCGCUGCCGGGCGGCAUCGGCACCUUCAGCGUCACCCAGCAGGUGCCCGGAGCCGCCGGACCACAGCCGGCCGCCGCCGCCGCGGUGGUGGUGAAGCCCGAGCCGCCGCCGUUCGUGCUCUGGGGCCAGCCCACGGCAUCACAGCCACCGAGAGCGCAAGGGCACCACCACCAGUGGACGCUCCCCUUCGCCGGCGCCGGGCAGGCGGCCACCGCGUCCAGAAAGCACCCGUCGGAGCGGAAGCGGCGCGGCGGCGGCGGGUUCAUGGACUCUGGCUCCAGAUCCAGCGGCGGCGCCGGCUUCGACGACGACGACGGCCUCGCCGCGCGCCGCGAGGUCUCCUCCUCGCUGCAAGAGUUAGCUGUCAGGGUGGAUGCGAAGGGCGGGAGCUGCAGCGGCAGCGGCACGGAUCAGCUGCCAAACACACCAAAGUCAAAGCAUUCUGCAACUGAGCAGCGCCGCCGUAGCAAGAUCAAUGACAGGUUUCAGAUACUUAGGGAUCUUUUACCACACACUGAUCAAAAGAGAGACAAGGCAACAUUUCUCUUAGAGGUUAUUGAAUAUAUACGAUUUUUGCAAGAGAAAGCACAGAAGUACGAGGCUUCAUUUCCAGAAUGGAACCAAGAAAAUGCAAAGUUGCUCCCAUGGUCAAACAUGUAUUUUCGAUCAUCUUGGAAAAAUGCACAGAGUAAAGGGCAAAUCGCAGAAGAUGCCUCGCCUGACCCUUCACAAUUCAUCAGAAAUGGGGCCUCCCCUGGAUUCAAUAUCACAGGCAAGCUUGAUGAUAACCACACCGCGGCUAUCUCAGGGGCACCGGAUCAGGCAGAAACCGACCACAUGGCUAGUGUGUCCUGUAGAUCGGCGGACACUCCAACAAAUAUUAUGAAUAAUGUUUCGCCCCAGUCCCAACCACAAUGGGCAGAUCCAUCUGGUGUGGAUGAUUGCGCUGUGAACAGUGACGUGUUAAAUAAUCAACAAUUGAUGAUUGAUGAAGGAACAAUCAGCGUGUCAAGCCAAUAUUCCCAAGAGCUACUUAACACAUUGACGCAUGCUCUUCAAAGCUCGGGUAUAGAUUUGUCCCAAGCCAACAUCUCUGUCCAGAUCAACCUGGGCAAGCGAGCUGUCAAAAGACCUAUUGCUGGACAAUCCUCCAAUUUUAAGGAGCACACCGAUCUAGGCCCGACGAACAACAUGAUGGGCCAUCAGCAGACGAUGCUGGGCAACGCCGCCGAAGAGCUUCCCCAUGCGACGAAGCGGUACAAGCCGGGCAACACCUGACGGCGGCGACCCUCGCCGCAUUCUCCACCCAAGACAGGAUUGAUCAUUCUUUCCUCUGCGGCAUUGCCAGCGGAGACCCUGAGAUUGCAUGUACAUUAUGUUGUUCUGUGACGGCACCGGGACGAGCGAGACUUUGGUGCAUUCUUUCAUUUAAUCUUCGCGCCGCCACCUUUUAUUUAUUGUUGAAGUAAAAGCAAAACAAAACAAAGAAGCUUCCAUUGCAGAUUGUGAAGCUGCUCUUGUAGUACUAGUAUAUACAGGCUUCCAUUCGUAUGCGAAGUUUCUCCCCCGUGUAACCUGUAAGAUAACUCGAUCGACUAUAUUUCCUGUUAGUUAAGUCGCACCCUGGAGUAUGUC